CAAAUGUUGUCCGUGCAUUAACUCAUGAACCGUUCAACCAAAGCUUUUAAAAUUUUAAUAUGUUGUUACUGACAACUAAAUGAAGGUCAAGUUCAAUAAUGGCGAUUUUGACUUUUACCGUUCAGGAGUUAUGGUUCUUGAAAGAUUGAAAAAUGGAGUUUCCAGUCGUGUCCGUGCAUUUACGCAUGAACUGUUCUACCAAAGCUUCCCAAAUUUUAAUAUGUUGUUACCAAUGACAAAAUGGAGGUCAAGUUCAAUAAUGACGAUUUUGACUUUUACCGUUCAGGAGUUAUGGUUCUUGAAAGAUUGAAAAAUGGAGUUUCCAGUCGUGUCCGUGCAUUUACGCAUGAACUGUUCUACCAAAGCUUCCCAAAUUUUAAUAUAUUGUUACUGAUGACAAAAUGGAGAUCAAUUUCAAUAAUGACGAUUUUGACUUUUACCGUUCAGGAGUUAUGGUUCUUGAAAAAUUGAAAAAUGGUGUUUCCAGUCGUGUCCGUGCAUUUUCUCAUAAACCAUUCAACCAAAGCUUUUGAAAUUUUUAUGUGUUGUUACCAAUGACAAAAUGGAGGUCAAGUUCAAUAAUGACGAUUUUGACUUUUACCGUUCAGGAGUUAUGGUUCUUGAAAGAUUGAAAAAUGGUGUUUCCAGUCGUGUCCGUGCAUUUUCUCAUAAACCAUUCAACCAAAGCUUUUGAAAUUUUUAUAUGUUGUUACUGAUGACAAAAUAGAGGUCAAGUUCAAUAAUGACGAUUUUGACUUUUACCGUUCAGGAGUUAUGGUUCUUGAAAGAUCGUCAAAUGGUGUUUCCAUUCACGUUGCAUUUACUAAUGAACCAUUCAAUCUAAGCUUUUCAAAUUUUAAUAUGUUGAUACUGACUACAAAAUGGAGGUCAAAUUUGAUAUUGACGAUUUUCACUUUCAGCAUUCAUCAGUUAUGGCUCUUGUGAUAUUGCCAGGACACAAAUAAAUGUUAAUAAAUCCGGUUUGCUGUCAUUGUGACAGCCUCUUGUCUUGUUUUACAUCUUAUCUUACAAUAUAUCUUAUGUUCUGACUUUUAUUGGUUACUAUAGGAUAUGAAUUUUGCUCAAUAUUGAAGGUUUUACGGUGACAUAUGACUAUAGUUGCAAACAUCAACAGCAUUUAGUCUAAGGCUGAUAGUUGUAUUAUUGUAAAUCAUACCAAAUGUUAUUUUGAUCUGACAUUGUAAUGGAAAGAACCUUAGAAUUUUCUUUUACAAGUAAUUAUUUCAAUUAUCAUAGAAUGGUACUUUUCUUUUAGAAGAUGGCACUUAAAAUCACGGAGUUUAAUGAAAAAUUACAUGAAGGAAUUAACUAGUUAAAAUUGUGAAAGAAGCAAAUUAAAUUCAGAUCUGCAAAGGGAGAUAAUUUGUCAUACAACAUAAGGGGAGAUAAUUUUGAUAAUAAUGUAAUAUUGGUGUUUAUAAAGUGAAUGAUAGGGUAUUGAACUUGUAAUAACAAUUCUACUGUUACAGACACUGAAUAAAAGAUGUCAAAGCAAUGUCAAACAACAUUUUUAACCCUGCCACAUUAUUUAUGUAUGUGCCUGUCCCAAGUCAGGAGCCUGUAAUUCAGUGGUUAUCAUUUGUUUAUGUGUUACAUAGUUCUUGUUUUCAAA
rnacentral:lncRNA from 1 species